rnacentral:rRNA from 1 species
GAUGAACGCUGGCGGCGUGCCUAAUACAUGCAAGUCGAGCGAACAGACGAGGAGCUUGCUCCUCUGACGUUAGCGGCGGACGGGUGAGUAACACGUGGAUAACCUACCUAUAAGACUGGGAUAACUUCGGGAAACCGGAGCUAAUACCGGAUAAUAUAUUGAACCGCAUGGUUCAAUAGUGAAAGACGGUUUUGCUGUCACUUAUAGAUGGAUCCGCGCCGCAUUAGCUAGUUGGUAAGGUAACGGCUUACCAAGGCAACGAUGCGUAGCCGACCUGAGAGGGGGAUCGGCACCACUGGAACUGGGACACGGGCCAGCCUCCUACGGGAGGAAGCAGGAGGGAAUUUUCCGGAAUGGGCGAAAGCCUGACGGGGCAACGCCGCGUGAGUGAUGAAGGUCUUCGGAUCGUAAAACUCUUUUAUUAGGGAAAAACAAAUGGGUAAGUAACUAUGCACGUCUUGACGGUACCUAAUCAGAAAGCCACGGCUAACUACGU